GAGGCGAACGGGGCCGGGGCCGGGCCCCGGGAGAGUCGCUGGGCCGCGGGGAGCGGCGCCGCACGGCGGGGCGGAGCGGGGUGGACAGGCAGCGGCACCGGCCGUGUCAGACCCGGCCGAACCGGCUGCGGGGAGAGGGACAGCGAGUGGCGGGAGGUUUGGCUGCAGAGGUUGACGGAAAUACUUGCUGCUCUCCCACGAGGAACAUAAGAAGCAGUUUCAUCAUCCUUCCUCUGACCCCUUGAUUGGAGCCUGGAGGAUGGAAGACAAGAUGAAAACAAUGUACUUUGUGGAGAGUCCUGUCCAAAUGUGGAUUGCCCAUAUUUGACCAUAAAAACAGAAAUCAGGUAAGUAGUGCUUGAUCAUCCAACAGUUUAGUAAAUGCAACUGAAUAAGCCAACUGUUUUCUGAAAAUACCUUUUCCUGGCACUGUGUUAGGUGAAUUUCUUGGCUCCUAAGAAAUCCAUUUAUUCUUCCUUAUUUCUUUGGAGUGUUGCUUAUUUACCAGCUCACUGUGGUUUGCAAAAGUGGCUGUAUUUCCUUUGACACAGGAAAUUGUGACAAAAGCAAACUCCAAAGUUGACUCUAAAGACAAAGACCAACAGCACUUUGAACUCGUGCAAGUGCUUUGAGUGGUUCUCACUCAGAACACUUCUCAUGAGGAAUUAGAACAUUUUCAUGAAUACUGUAUUUAGGGUUUACGGUUAAAAAUGACAAACAUGGGCUUUAAUCCACAUAGACAUUCGUAAGAACUGAGAGUGAAAAGUCGUAUGUAGUGUCUGUGUGUG